AUGGGGUUUGAUUCUAACGAUGAAAAAGGAAAAAAAAAAAAAAAAAAAAAAAAAAAAAAAAAAAAAAAAAAAAAAAAAAAAAAAAAAAAAAAAAAAAAAAAAAAAAAAAAAAAAAAAGAAAGAAAGAAAUCUACCUGGACAAGACUUGGUUUCUGCCCUCUAGGAGUGGAUAAGGAUGGGUGGGAGGGCAAUCGCUACGGCUGUGGGAUUUGGUCAGGAGAAGCACCGUGGUGAGAUGAGGAUCUGAGCUGGGCCCUUCACAACUGACUGGAUUUGUGUAAUUCAAAAGGCCAUUGUGAGGCAGGUGAAAAAUGGGAGCAAAGGUUGAGGCCAGGGAAGCAUGUGGUACAAUGUGAAGACCAGUGUGAAGAGGCCUAAUUGGACGUGAGCUAACAUGGAGUAGUGAGAGACAAGGGCAGCCAACUGAAGUGGGGGCUGAUUACACUGGCCUAGAAAGCCAGGCCCCAGGCACCAAAAAGCCCCAGGAAAGCAAUGCAGGGGUGCACAGAACCCUCAGUGCAGCCCAGAGAAGUAAAGGGCUGAGCGCCCAUACCUGGGCAAAAGCAAAGACGGAGGAAGAAUGACAGGCAAGUCAUUGUGAAGGGAGAUUUGGUGACUGAAUAGGUAUAGCGGACCUUGAACCUCAGCUAGUGAGAGAAUGGAGUGCUGCUUCUUGCAAGGGGAAAACGCAGACAGAAAGGCAGACCUGGUAGAGACGGAUGAGUAGGAUUCCCACAAAUGGUGGACAUCCCAAUGUAGUUUUCUCUAAACUAAACACAGUAGGCCUGUCCACCUGGGGAGGCCAGUUCAAACAGUGACACAGGCUUCCAGCUAAGAGUCACUGAACAGGCUGUGCUGUCAGAGGGAAAGAGUGUGGAGAUACCACUGCCUCAUGCCUGCCAUCACCUGCAGAGUCACAGACUUUCAGAGAAAUCUCAAUCUUAGCAUAGCGUUCCCUCUUUGGGUGCUGUUUCUCGGUAGUGGUACAUAAGCCAGCAGUUCUCAGCAUCUUCUUAUUCCACGCAAUGUCUAUUUUCUCCGGCAGCUAAGAAUGAAAAGCAAACAGGAGGAAUCAGACAGCAGUUCGAAGCAGUCCAGAAAGUACUAACUCAAGGGUUUGUUCCCUGUAAUAAAAAGAGAACCUUCCUUCCCCGGGUUCUUGGCUCACAGCAAGUUGGGGGUAAAUCUACUCAAAGGGCACACAAAUCUAAGCAUUCUGGGGGAGAAUAAAAACCAACUGCAAGUCCGGAUAAAGAAAACUAAUAGGCAGUUAGGACACAAGGGACACUGUUGAGACAACGUGAAUUAGGGCUUGUGCUCUCUCGCACGGAGA
rnacentral:lncRNA from 1 species